rnacentral:lncRNA from 1 species
AUUUUUUAACUAUUAUGAUAUUCAUUUCAAAAGCGUCAAUUAUUGUGCGAUCGUCUGCUGACAUUUUCGUCGUUUUCAUUGUUUACACCAACGACGUCGAUAACAUUACAUCCCGACGAUCGCCGACGCUGAAAUUUGACGGUAGAAACGACAGAAUACUUACAAUUACAUGGAAAUGCAUGAAAAAUGAAGAAUAUUUAACCAACCAAUUCCACAAAAGAACAGCCAUGUUGUUUUGAUAACGAGCUUGUAUGUUGUGAGUCGACCCCUUGUAAGCAGACCACGUGACCGUUGACGAACUUACACGGGCUACAUGCAGGUUAAAAAAUGAUUUAUAUGAAAUUAGAAAAAGAAAUAUGUCCAUAUUAGACGCAAUACAGACCUUUUUUAGGAGAUUUGUAAAUUGUAACAGUGGGACUAUUUAAUUCCCUAAAGUGUACCAUAGUUUAAAGAUAUACUGACAGCCACC